UGGGAUUCGGUGAAUCGGAGCCGUUGAAAGAUGCCGGGGCUAACGAUCGGCGACACGAUCCCGAACCUGGAGGUGGAGACCACGCACGGGAAGAUCCGGAUCCACGACUACGUCGGCGAUGGUUGGGCCAUCAUCUUCUCCCAUCCCGGUAAGGUUUCCCUCUGUCACACCUUUAGUCUUGGAGCCUUGCUUCCAUUCUGAUGUCUCAUUGGUCGCAUGUGCAGCGGAUUUCACACCCGUGUGCACGACGGAGCUGGGGAAGAUGGCGGCGUACGCGGAGGAGUUCGAGAAAAGAGGGGUGAAGCUGCUAGGCAUCUCCUGCGACGAUGUCAAGUGCCACAUGGAAUGGAUCAAAGACGUCGAGGCCUAC
rnacentral:lncRNA from 1 species